UACGUAGGGUGCAAGCGUUAAUCGGAAUUCCUGGGCGUAAAGCGUGCGCAGGCGGCUUUGCAAGACAGAUGUGAAAUCCCCGGGCUUAACCUGGGAACUGCAUUUGUGACUGCAAGGCUGGAGUGCGGCAGAGGGGGAUGGAAUUCCGCGUGUAGCAGUGAAAUGCGUAGAGAUGUGGAGGAAUACCGAUGGCGAAGGCAGCCCCCUGGGAUAACACUGACGCUCAUGCACGAAAGCGUGGGGAGCAAACAGG
rnacentral:rRNA from 1 species